CCUACGGGAGGCAGCAGUGAGGAAUAUUGGUCAAUGGACGAGAGUCUGAACCAGCCAAGUAGCGUGAAGGAUGACUGCCCUAUGGGUUGUAAACUUCUUUUAUAAAGGAAUAAAAUGAGCCACGUGUGCGUUUUUGUAUGUACUUUAUGAAUAAGGAUCGGCUAACUCCGUGCCAGCAGCCGCGGUAAUACGGAGGAUCCGAGCGUUAUCCGGAUUUAUUGGGUUUAAAGGGAGCGUAGAUGGGUUGUUAAGUCAGUUGUGAAAGUUUGCGGCUCAACCGUAAAAUUGCAAUUGAUACUGGCAGUCUUGAGUACAGUUGAGGUGGGCGGAAUUCGUGGUGUAGCGGUGAAAUGCUUAGAUAUCACGAAGAACUCCGAUUGCGAAGGCAGCUUACUAAACUGCCACUGACAUUGAGGCUCGAAAGUGUGGGUAUCAAACAGGAUUAGAUACCCUGGUAGUC
rnacentral:rRNA from 1 species